rnacentral:rRNA from 1 species
UACGAAGGGGGCUAGCGUUGCUCGGAAUCACUGGGCGUAAAGGGUGCGUAGGUGGGUUUUUAAGUCAGAGGUGAAAUCCUGGAGCUCAACUCCAGAACUGCCUUUGAUACUGAGAAUCUUGAGUACGGGAGAGGUGAGUGGAACUGCGAGUGUAGAGGUGAAAUUCGUAGAUAUUCGCAAGAACACCAGUGGCGAAGGCGGCUCACUGGCCCGAUACUGACGCUGAGGUGCGAAAGCGUGGGGAGCAAACAGG